rnacentral:rRNA from 1 species
UACAGAGGGGGCAAGCGUUGUUCGGAAUUACUGGGCGUAAAGGGCGCGUAGGCGGCCUUCUAAGUCGAACGUGAAAUCCCCGGGCUCAACCCGGGAACUGCGUCCGAUACUGGAAGGCUUGAAUCCGGGAGAGGGAUGCGGAAUUCCAGGUGUAGCGGUGAAAUGCGUAGAUAUCUGGAGGAACACCGGUGGCGAAGGCGGCCAACUGGGAAUGCAUUGACACUGAGGUGCGAAAGCGUGGGGAGCAAACAGG